rnacentral:rRNA from 1 species
UAUUGGACAAUGGGGGCAACCCUGAUCCAGCGACGCCGCGUGUGUGAAGAAGGCCUGCGGGUUGUAAGGCACUUUUAGUGGGGAUGAAAAGCCCAUUGCUAAUACCAGUGUGUCUUGACCUAACCCAAAGAAAAAGCACCGGCUAACUCUGUGCCAGCAGCCGCGGUAAUACGUAGGUCGCAAGCGUUGUCCGGAUUUACUGGGCGUAAAGAGCGCGCAGGCGGCUGGCCAAGUCCGUUGUGAAAGCUUCCGGCUUAACCGGGAAAUUGCAACGGAAACUGGUCGGCUUGAAGGUGGGAGAGGGUAGCGGAAUUCCCGGUGUAGUGGUGAAAUGCGUAGAUAUCGGGAGGAACACCAGUGGCGAAGGCGGCUACCUGGCCCAUUCUUGACGCUGAGGCGCGAAAGCGUGGGGAUCAAAC